rnacentral:rRNA from 1 species
CAUGCAAGUCUAAGUAUAAGCACGUAUACGGUGAAACUGCGAACGGCUCAUUAAAUCAGUUAUCGUUUAUUUGAUAGUACCUUUCUACACGGAUACCUGUGGAAAAGCUAGAGCUAAUACUGUGCCAAACGCCGCGACUUCGGAAGCGGUGCACUCAUUAGAUUCAAAACCAACGCCCUUCGGGGCUUUCUGGUGAUUCAUAGUGAUUCAGCGAAUCGCAUGGCCUUGCGCCGGCGAUGGUUCAUUCAAAUUUCUGCCCUAUCAACUUUCGAUUGGAUUGUCGUGGAAUCCAAUGGUGACAACGGGUAACGGGGAAUUAGGGUUCGAUUCCGGAGAGGGAGCCUGAGAAACGGCUACCACAUCCAAGGAAGGCAGCAGGCGCGCAAAUUACCCAAUCCCGAUGCGGGGAGGUAGUGACAAUAAAUACUGAUACAGGGCUCUUUUGGGUCUUGUAAUUGGAAUGAGUACAAUUUAAAUCCCUUAACGAGGAACAAUUGGAGGGCAAGUCUGGUGCCAGCAGCCGCGGUAAUUCCAGCUCCAAUAGCGUAUAUUAAAGUUGUUGCAGUUAAAAAGCUCGUAGUUGAACCUUGGGCCUGGCUGGCCGGUCCGCCUUACCGCGUGCACUGGUCCGGCCGGGCCUUUCUUCCAGGGGAACCGCAUGCCCUUCAUUGGAUGUGUCGGGGAACCUGGACUUUCACUGUGAAAAAAUUAGAGUGUUCAAAGCAGGCAGCGUGCUCGCAUAGAUUAGCAUGGAAUGAUGAAAUAGGAUGGCUGUUCUAUUUUGUUGGUUUCUGGGACCGCCGUAAUGAUUAAUAGGGAUAGUCGGGGGCGUCAGUAUUCAACUGUCAGAGGUGAAAUUCUUGGAUUUGUUGAAGACUAACUACUGCGAAAGCAUUCGCCAAGGAUGUUUUCAUUAAUCAGUGAACGAAAGUUAGGGGAUCGAAGACGAUCAGAUACCGUCGUAGUCUUAACCAUAAACUAUGCCGACUAGGGAUCGGGCGAUGUUAUCUUUUUGACUCGCUCGGCACCUUACGAGAAAUCAAAGUUUUUGGGUUCUGGGGGGAGUAUGGUCGCAAGGCUGAAACUUAAAGAAAUUGACGGAAGGGCACCACCAGGAGUGGAGCCUGCGGCUUAAUUUGACUCAACACGGGGAAACUCACCAGGUCCAGACACAAGUAGGAUUGACAGAUUGAGAGCUCUUUCUUGAUUUUGUGGGUGGUGGUGCAUGGCCGUUCUUAGUUGGUGGAGUGAUUUGUCUGCUUAAUUGCGAUAACGAACGAGACCUUAACCUGCUAAAUAGCCCGGCUGGC